UACAGAGGGUGCAAGCGUUAAUCGGAUUUACUGGGCGUAAAGCGUGCGCAGGCGGCUUUGCAAGACAGAUGUGAAAUCCCCGGGCUCAACCUGGGAACUGCAUUUGUGACUGCAAGGCUAGAGUACGGCAGAGGGGGAUGGAAUUCCGCGUGUAGCAGUGAAAUGCGUAGAUAUGCGGAGGAACACCAAUGGCGAAGGCAAUCCCCUGGGCCUGUACUGACGCUCAUGCACGAAAGCGUGGGGAGCAAACAGG
rnacentral:rRNA from 1 species